rnacentral:rRNA from 1 species
AAUGCAAGUCGAGCGGACAGAAGGGAGCUUGCUCCCGGAUGUUAGCGGCGGACGGGUGAGUAACACGUGGGUAACCUGCCUGUAAGACUGGGAUAACUCCGGGAAACCGGAGCUAAUACCGGAUAGUUCCUUGAACCGCAUGGUUCAAGGAUGAAAGACGGUUUCGGCUGUCACUUACAGAUGGACCCGCGGCGCAUUAGCUAGUUGGUGGGGUAAUGGCUCACCAAGGCGACGAUGCGUAGCCGACCUGAGAGGGUGAUCGGCCACACUGGGACUGAGACACGGCCCAGACUCCUACGGGAGGCAGCAGUAGGGAAUCUUCCGCAAUGGACGAAAGUCUGACGGAGCAACGCCGCGUGAGUGAUGAAGGUUUUCGGAUCGUAAAGCUCUGUUGUUAGGGAAGAACAAGUGCGAGAGUAACUGCUCGCACCUUGACGGUACCUAACCAGAAAGCCACGGCUAACUACGUGCCAGCAGCCGCGGUAAUACGUAGGUGGCAAGCGUUGUCCGGAAUUAUUGGGCGUAAAGGGCUCGCAGGCGGUUUCUUAAGUCUGAUGUGAAAGCCCCCGGCUCAACCGGGGAGGGUCAUUGGAAACUGGGAAACUUGAGUGCAGAAGAGGAGAGUGGAAUUCCACGUGUAGCGGUGAAAUGCGUAGAGAUGUGGAGGAACACCAGUGGCGAAGGCGACUCUCUGGUCUGUAACUGACGCUGAGGAGCGAAAGCGUGGGGAGCGAACAGGAUUAGAUACCCUGGUAGUCCACGCCGUAAACGAUGAGUGCUAAGUGUUAGGGGGUUUCCGCCCCUUAGUGCUGCAGCUAACGCAUUAAGCACUCCGCCUGGGGAGUACGGUCGCAAGACUGAAACUCAAAGGAAUUGACGGGGGCCCGCACAAGCGGUGGAGCAUGUGGUUUAAUUCGAAGCAACGCGAAGAACCUUACCAGGUCUUGACAUCCUCUGACAACCCUAGAGAUAGGGCUUUCCCUUCGGGGACAGAGUGACAGGGGGUGCAUGGUUGCCGUCAGCUCCGUCGGAGAUGUUGGGUUAAGUCCCGCAACGAGCGCAACCCUUGAUCUUAGUUGCCAGCAUUUAGUUGGGCACCCUAAGGUGACUGCCCGGUGACAAACCGGGAGGAAGGGGGGGAUGAAUCAAAUCAUCCAGGCCCCUU